CCAGAAAUGUAUGAUUGUUCUUACUCACAUACUUGGUAUUAUCACUUGUUUAAUUUUUGUCAUAGAUAUCCUCUUGUUCUUUUGUUUGCAUUUUUCUGAUUAACAGUGUUAAUUUGAUUAAAGUUAUCAAUUUACUGAUUCUUGGGCUCCAAAUCCACCCUUCUUUAUCCCACUCUGUGAUACUGGAACAAGACUCCAUAAACAUCUGUCCUUUUAUGUUAGGGUCUGUCAACAGAGGCUACUGAAUGAAGUUCAAAACCAUAGCAUAAAGGGGUUUCCUUUCCUCAACACAUAGUGCUUUUCCUGUUCAGCACAGUAGCCAAGAAAUUGAUGUGCAAGAGGCCUGGUAGCAAAUUCACCUCAGCGGUAUGCAUGGUCCUUCUCCAACCUGCCCAUGCCCUCUGGCAAGUUUCUCAGCCACCUGGCUGAAUGCAUCUAUGGGCCAGCUCCAGCCCAUGCCUUCUGCCAGAAAAGUUCACUCAGGAAACUGACCUGUAGGUCAAACAUUGUAACAAUCCAAGAAGCUAAUGCCACCCACAUCCUCAUCACCAUCACCUUCUCUCAAAAUCGGGGUCCUCAUCCUGGAGGAAAAGGAGGGGAAGAAAGAGAAAGUAAAGCAACAAAAAAAAAUGUAUCUCACCUGGUUUAAAAUUUGUAGCAAUGGUAAGAGGGGUUAAAGAAUGAUUGAGAAGGAAAGUGUUUGAAAAAUAUAGUUAUGUACACUAUAUGUAUGUAUAUCUGAAUUUUUAAAAACCAAUUAGACUGUUAUUUGCAAAUUUUUAGUCACAUAAUAUUGUUUCUGAAAAAGUACAAAUAACUGGCUGAAUUAAAUUGUCUUUAACUGAAAUGAUGAAGCCAAUUGUUUAAAGAUCAUCUGCAUUUUUGCUAAUUUAUUUUAAUUAUUUUGCAAUAACUAAACUGUCUCUUUUAUAAAGAAUUGCAUAAAAUUGCAAUUUAACAGAUAAAGCUUGAACAAUGAUCACCUGGAUUGUUCAUUAAAAUAGCCAAAAGGAAAUAAAACCAAAUACAAAAGAAAAUCCUAUUAUUCACCUUCUCUUUCAUGUCAAGUCAACAUUCAA
rnacentral:lncRNA from 1 species